GACGAACGCUGGCGGCGUGCUUAACACAUGCAAGUCGAACGGAAAGGCCUUGCUUUUGUGGGGUGCUCGAGUGGCGAGCGGGGGAGUAACACGUGAGUAACCUGUCCUUGUCUUUGGGGGAACUUCAGGAGACAGGGGCUCAUACCGGAUAGGAGCUCCUGCUGCGUGGGGGCGGUUGGAAAGUGUCGGUUGUUGGGGCUGGACUCGCGGUUUAUGAGCUGGUUGGUGGGGUAGUGGCUUACCAAGGCUUCGACGGAUAGCCGGCAUUCGAGGGUGGACAGCGACAUGGCGCCUGAGAUACGGACCAGUCUGCAACGGGAGGCAACAGUCGGGAAUAUUACACAAUGGGCCGACGCGUGAUGUAGAAACGCCGCGUGCGGGAUGACGGCCUUCGGGGUGUGAACCGCUUUCGCCUGUGACGAAGCGUGCGUGACGGUAAUGGGUAAAGAAGCACCGGCUAACUACGUG
rnacentral:rRNA from 1 species